rnacentral:lncRNA from 1 species
AGGGAGAGAGAGAGACAGUCAGGGCUUGAAAGCUGGAGGAGAGAGAAAGAGGGUAUUAGCUGGACGAGAGUUAAACGAGAGAGUGAUGCAUGUGGGGAUGCGUGCGCCUUGUUUCAUUUCAUUUCAUUUCAGAGAGAGACAGAGGGACGGUGAUUCUUGGGUUUUCUUGGAGAUGAAACGGAGGUGCUUUCUUUAAUCUUUCUCCCCUCCUCCCUUUUUAACAUAGAGGACAGUAACGGUGGCGGAUGAAGAAGGAGGAGGAGGAGGAGGAGGAGGAGAAGAGUCGUUCGGGGUCGGACGGGGUUUACAAGGUCAAAAGACGCGCUUCUG